UGAACACAGCUGGUGGUAUCCAAU
rnacentral:ncRNA from 5 species